rnacentral:rRNA from 1 species
ACACUCCUGCAGGAGGCAGCAGUGGGGAAUAUUGGACAAUGGGCGCAAGCCUGAUCCAGCCAUGCCGCGUGAGUGAUGAAGGCCCUAGGGUUGUAAAGCUCUUUCACCGGUGAAGAUAAUGACGGUAACCGGAGAAGAAGCCCCGGCUAACUUCGUGCCAGCAGCCGCGGUAAUACGAAGGGGGCUAGCGUUGUUCGGAUUUACUGGGCGUAAAGCGCACGUAGGCGGACUAUUAAGUCAGGGGUGAAAUCCCGGGGCUCAACCCCGGAACUGCCUUUGAUACUGGUAGUCUUGAGUUCGAGAGAGGUGAGUGGAAUUCCGAGUGUAGAGGUGAAAUUCGUAGAUAUUCGGAGGAACACCAGUGGCGAAGGCGGCUCACUGGCUCGAUACUGACGCUGAGGUGCGAAAGCGUGGGGAGCAAACAGGAUUAGAAACCCUAGUAGUCC